rnacentral:rRNA from 1 species
GACGAACGCUGGCGGCGUGCCUAAUACAUGCAAGUAGAACGCUGAAGGAGGAGCUUGCUUCUCUGGAUGAGUUGCGAACGGGUGAGUAACGCGUAGGUAACCUGCCUGGUAGCGGGUGAUAACUAUUGGAAACGAUAGCUAAUACCGCAUAAUAGCAGUUAUUGCAUGAUAACUGUUUGAAAGGUGCAAUUGCACCACUACCAGAUGGACCUGCGUUGUAUUAGCUAGUUGGUGGGGUAACGGCUCACCAAGGCGACGAUACAUAGCCGACCUGAGAGGGUGAUCGGCCACACUGGGACUGAGACACGGCCCAGACUCCUACGGGAGGCAGCAGUAGGGAAUCUUCGGCAAUGGACGGAAGUCUGACCGAGCAACGCCGCGUGAGUGAAGAAGGUUUUCGGAUCGUAAAGCUCUGUUGUAAGAGAAGAACGAGUGUGAGAGUGGAAAGUUCACACUGUGACGGUAUCUUACCAGAAAGGGACGGCUAACUACGUG